GACGAACGCUGGCGGCGUGCUUAACACAUGCAAGUCGAACGGAAAGGCCCUGCUUUUGUGGGGUGCUCGAGUGGCGAACGGGUGAGUAACACGUGAGUAACCUGCCCUUGACUUUGGGAUAACUUCAGGAAACUGGGGCUAAUACCGGAUAGGAGCUCCUGCUGCAUGGUGGGGGUUGGAAAGUUUCGGCGGUUGGGGAUGGACUCGCGGCUUAUCAGCUUGUUGGUGGGGUAGUGGCUUACCAAGGCUUUGACGGGUAGCCGGCCUGAGAGGGUGACCGGCCCCAUUGGGACUGGGAUACGGCACAGACUCCUACGGGAGGCAGCAGUGGGGAAUAUUGCACAAUGGGCGGAAGCCUGAUGCAGCAACGCCGCGUGCGGGAUGACGGCCUUCGGGUUGUAAACCGCUUACGCCUGUGACGAAGCGUGAGUGACGGUAAUGGGUAAAGAAGCACCGGCUAACUACGUG
rnacentral:rRNA from 1 species